rnacentral:SRP_RNA from 1 species
AGCCCCUCGUGUGGCGAUAUCUUGCCGAACUCCCCCAGGGCCGGAAGGCAGCAAGGGUAAGCGAGCUCUGUCGGGUGCGCGAGGGGUCUUU